CAGAUAGAACUUGGGCUAACCCUAUAACAAGCUAGUAAACUCAAGAAGCUAGGUUUUUCAAAGCUACCUGAGAGCACUGUCUAAGCUUGCAACUUCUUGUCCUCAGAUUUCAGGUUUCUAUAACUGAAUCCUGAAAUCCUAACUGGCCGACUGCUAUCAGACACUUCCACCACCGAACAAAUUCUCGGUAGACGCCUGCUCCCUCCUUUCAGUUUCUUUUUCGGGGUUGUCAGUGCAGAUCCAAGAGUGGUUUUGGGUUGAUUACCAGUAGAAGCCAUGGCAGUAAUACGGGGCUGAGGCUUCUGCGAGCUUCCAUGGCUUAAUAUUUUUAAAUCAUUUUAAGGUGUUAAUAUGAAAAAUAAUUUUUUUAAAAUAAAAAAAUAUAUUAUUUUGAUGUCUUUUAAAAUAAAAAAACACUUUAAAAAACAACUAAUUUAUUCAAAAAACAUUUUAUAAAGUGGUUAUUAUGGUUUCAAAUAAAUUAUGGAUACAUGAUGUUUUUAGAAAAAUAUAUAUAAUUUUUGUUUUUUAUUUUGAAAAAAAAAAUUAUUAGCUUAUUUUUCUUUUUUAAUCUUACAUUUUUUUUAGUUUUUUUAUUUAAAAGAUUGUAAUAAAUUUUUGACAAGUGAGAUUUUGAUAAAAUAAAAAAUAAAAAAUUAAUUUGAAUUUUUCUUAUAAUUAUAAUAUUUUUAAUCUUUAAAAGUAAUUUUAAUUUGUAAUAAACUCCAGCUGCGUCAACUAUUCUCUAAUCAAAUUAUCAAAUUAAUAAAAAGGAAAGCAAUGGCUUCCAGUUUUGACAUCCAAGUUGGGCUUCUAUUUUUGACUGGAGAAGUUGAAAUGGGCCUAGCAUUGGACGUCGCUUGUUCGUGAUUAAAGACUUCUAAAGCUACGCUCCUUUAGAACUUUGUUGGGCCGAAGAUUGUUUUUUCCUUUUCUUUUUAUUUAUAUAUAAGAUUUUUUAUUUGCUUGUUUAUUUCUGGCAAUUAGAUGCAUAUAAUUAUGGUAGCCGGAAUUUUUCUUGGAGGUGUUGCAAAGUAUGAAGAGAAUAGUUGUUAGAUUUUAUUUGAAGAUUGAUUUGAAAAAUAUAUUUGGUUUAUUAGGUUAUUGAAUAGAUCACCGAAUCAAUUUAAUUAGGAUUGAUAAUUUUUAUCAAAAACAUCUCGGAUUUUUUUUUUCUAGUGUUAAUAUGAUUGAUCGGGUUAAUAACCUAGCAUUGUUAGCUAUAGAAAUAAUAAUGAGUAUCCAUAUGUCAAGUUCUACUAUAUUUAUAAUCUACAUAUUAUUUAAUAUUUAAGAAAUUUAGAUAUUUAUAUCAUAUUAAUUUGGUUUCAGACAUUCAUAUGAGUAUCAACUAUUUGAGUAUUAUUUAUUAUUCAAUAUAAAAUAAAAUAAUAAUAAUAAUAUAUUUUUAUAUUUUAAUUCAAAUCGGCUUGAGUCAAAAAAAAUUAUUUAUAUCAUUUUUUUUUUUUCAUUGCUUCAGUCCAUGACAACGACACGGUAGCUAGCUAUUUGCUAUUGCUAAUCUACAGUUCACAAGAUGUUGCUGUCUGGUCUUUACCGCAGGAGUCAGAUUUCACUGCGACAUGAUUGGUUGCUCUUCCUUUUGACCAGUCUCUGACAUAAACGUAGACAAAGACACAAAAACACUCCUCGUAAAUAGUUUAGAGUUCAUUAAAGUUUGACCUUGGAUUAGAUAUCUCCUUGGAAUGCGACAUAAUCCCACGUGAUGAUUCUUAAAUCAACCUAAAAAUAGCAUGAACUUUUAAUGCAAGGAUCCCCAGUUUCUAUCCACAAUUCCGGGGUUCGUUUCAAGGUCAGAUUAUUGAUUGUUUGUGUCAUCUUUGAAUCUGGCUGGCCUAAAAAAUCUUAGUUUCACAGGAUUGCCUUGCUUUUGAUCUUGGGUAUGAUCAUUUUUUUUUAUCUCCAUCUCCUAUGAUGCAUUUGAUUGUUUGCGGUUUGACGUGUAGGUUGUUGGGGUUCUUUUGUUUCAUUUGGGUUAUCUUGAUGAUAUUGAUAGUUUCUGAAAUCUGGAUAAAUCUAUCUAUCUGAUAUUGCGGUUCGUUUUGCUUUCUGCAUUUUACAUACAAAUAUACGUUUAAUAUCUAUUGUUGAUCAUGUUUGAUCCCUACCAUUUCCAGAUCCUAAUUGAGCAUGUUAAUAGGAACUUUGAUGAACUUAUUACCAUUGUUGCAGGUUGCUGGAUCCUUACUCAUUUUUGUCCAAGCUCAUGUUUGAUGAAUGCUAUCAGCUGCUAGAUUAUACCUCCUGCUUUCUUGGGAGCCAAAUAAACCAUUUCAGUUUCUUCCUUUUAACUCUUUUGGGAAGACAUUCGCUAAUCUGAUUUGUAGCUAUUCAGUUCUUCUUGUUAAUUCCUGUCUUGCAAUCAAAAACACAUCACUCUCAUCGUUGGGAUGAUAUGACGCUGCAGAGCAUUCUGCAUUUAAAUCUGCCAUCUAGUUUACUAAAGAUUUUGUUGUUUCUGUGUGUGUGUGUGUGUUUUAGCUCUCCACUUGUUGGCAUGGUCUCAAAACCAGAACUCUAGUGCUAAAAAUAUAUGCAGAUUCCUUCAACUAAGAAGUAUCACGUACAUGCAGGGUGUCUAUUGCAUAACAGGCUUGUGAAACUCUUUGGCUGCAAUUAUCCCAACAAGCUCUAAAGGCUAAUGUCAAAACACUAGUAGAUAGAGCUCAUACUUCUGGUUGAACAGAUAAAGAAACAUGGUUCAGAAACUAGAAGCUAUGAAGGGACAUGGAGGAUCUACCAGGGUGGGUACCACCGGAACAAUUGGUGCUCUGAUAACAAGGGAGCUGGAAUCAAUUAAACCCUCCCCACAAGCAUCAGCAUCUGUUCAAGCUAAGCCUGGAACUAUUCUUGUUUCGGUUCCCUGCAGUGCAACUACUCCUAGAAAACUACAAGCAAGAAAAUCAUUAGAUGAAGCAAGCAGCAGCGGCCAGAAUCGCAGAAGCCCUGAAACUCGUCAGAAAAUGAAAAGCUUCAAUAAAAGCACUCAUCAUAUUCCGAUGUUUGGCUCUGAUAGUAUUAUUUUGGAUAGAACACCAAGUAGGGAGAAAUCUGACAAGAAAGCAACUAAAAAUGUGGAAAUGGUGGACAUAAGAUGUGGUAGUCCAGAUAGAACUUGGGCUAACCCUAUAACAAGUAAACUCAAGAAGCUAGGUUUUUCAAAGCUACCUGAGAGCACUGUCUAAGCUUGCAACUUCUUGUCCUCAGAUUUCAGGUUUCUAUAACUGAAUCCUGAAAUCCUAACUGGCCGACUGCUAUCAGACACUUCCACCACCGAACAAAUUCUCGGUAGACGCCUGCUCCCUCCUUUCAGUUUCUUUUUCGGGGUUGUCAGUGCAGAUCCAAGAGUGGUUUUGGGUUGAUUACCAGUAGAAGCCAUGGCAGUAAUACGGGGCUGAGGCUUCUGCGAGCUUCCAUGGCUUAAUAUUUUUAAAUCAUUUUAAGGUGUUAAUAUGAAAAAUAAUUUUUUUAAAAUAAAAAAAUAUAUUAUUUUGAUGUCUUUUAAAAUAAAAAAACACUUUAAAAAACAACUAAUUUAUUCAAAAAACAUUUUAUAAAGUGGUUAUUAUGGUUUCAAAUAAAUUAUGGAUACAUGAUGUUUUUAGAAAAAUAUAUAUAAUUUUUGUUUUUUAUUUUGAAAAAAAAAAUUAUUAGCUUAUUUUUCUUUUUUAAUCUUACAUUUUUUUUAGUUUUUUUAUUUAAAAGAUUGUAAUAAAUUUUUGACAAGUGAGAUUUUGAUAAAAUAAAAAAUAAAAAAUUAAUUUGAAUUUUUCUUAUAAUUAUAAUAUUUUUAAUCUUUAAAAGUAAUUUUAAUUUGUAAUAAACUCCAGCUGCGUCAACUAUUCUCUAAUCAAAUUAUCAAAUUAAUAAAAAGGAAAGCAAUGGCUUCCAGUUUUGACAUCCAAGUUGGGCUUCUAUUUUUGACUGGAGAAGUUGAAAUGGGCCUAGCAUUGGACGUCGCUUGUUCGUGAUUAAAGACUUCUAAAGCUACGCUCCUUUAGAACUUUGUUGGGCCGAAGAUUGUUUUUUCCUUUUCUUUUUAUUUAUAUAUAAGAUUUUUUAUUUGCUUGUUUAUUUCUGGCAAUUAGAUGCAUAUAAUUAUGGUAGCCGGAAUUUUCUUGGAGGUGUUGCAAAGUAUGAAGAGAAUAGUUGUUAGAUUUUAUUUGAAGAUUGAUUUGAAAAUAUAUUUGGUUUAUUAGGUUAUUGAAUAGAUCACCGAAUCAAUUUAAUUAGGAUUGAUAAUUUUUAUCAAAAACAUCUCGGAUUUUUUUUUCUAGUGUUAAUAUGAUUGAUCGGGUUAAUAACCUAGCAUUGUUAGCUAUAGAAAUAAUAAUGAGUAUCCAUAUGUCAAGUUCUACUAUAUUUAUAAUCUACAUAUUAUUUAAUAUUUAAGAAAUUUAGAUAUUUAUAUCAUAUUAAUUUGGUUUCAGACAUUCAUAUGAGUAUCAACUAUUUGAGUAUUAUUUAUUAUUCAAUAUAAAAUAAAAUAAUAAUAAUAAUAUAUUUUUAUAUUUUAAUUCAAAUCGGCUUGAGUCAAAAAAAAUUAUUUAUAUCAUUUUUUUUUUUCAUUGCUUCAGUCCAUGACAACGACACGGUAGCUAGCUAUUUGCUAUUGCUAAUCUACAGUUCACAAGAUGUUGCUGUCUGGUCUUUACCGCAGGAGUCAGAUUUCACUGCGACAUGAUUGGUUGCUCUUCCUUUUGACCAGUCUCUGACAUAAACGUAGACAAAGACACAAAAACACUCCUCGUAAAUAGUUUAGAGUUCAUUAAAGUUUGACCUUGGAUUAGAUAUCUCCUUGGAAUGCGACAUAAUCCCACGUGAUGAUUCUUAAAUCAACCUAAAAAUAGCAUGAACUUUUAAUGCAAGGAUCCCCAGUUUCUAUCCACAAUUCCGGGGUUCGUUUCAAGGUCAGAUUAUUGAUUGUUUGUGUCAUCUUUGAAUCUGGCUGGCCUAAAAAAUCUUAGUUUCACAGGAUUGCCUUGCUUUUGAUCUUGGGUAUGAUCAUUUUUUUUAUAUCUCCAUCUCCUAUGAUGCAUUUGAUUGUUUGCGGUUUGACGUGUAGGUUGUUGGGGUUCUUUUGUUUCAUUUGGGUUAUCUUGAUGAUAUUGAUAGUUUCUGAAAUCUGGAUAAAUCUAUCUAUCUGAUAUUGCGGUUCGUUUUGCUUUCUGCAUUUUACAUACAAAUAUACGUUUAAUAUCUAUUGUUGAUCAUGUUUGAUCCCUACCAUUUCCAGAUCCUAAUUGAGCAUGUUAAUAGGAACUUUGAUGAACUUAUUACCAUUGUUGCAGGUUGCUGGAUCCUUACUCAUUUUUGUCCAAGCUCAUGUUUGAUGAAUGCUAUCAGCUGCUAGAUUAUACCUCCUGCUUUCUUGGGAGCCAAAUAAACCAUUUCAGUUUCUUCCUUUUAACUCUUUUGGGAAGACAUUCGCUAAUCUGAUUUGUAGCUAUUCAGUUCUUCUUGUUAAUUCCUGUCUUGCAAUAUUUGUUUCGAUCAAAAACACAUCACUCUCAUCGUUGGGAUGAUAUGACGCUGCAGAGCAUUCUGCAUUUAAAUCUGCCAUCUAGUUUACUAGAGAUUUUGUUGUUUCUGUGUGUGUGUGUGUGUUUUAGCUCUCCACUUGUUGGCAUGGUCUCAAAACCAGAACUCUAGUGCUAAAAAUAUAUGCAGAUUCCUUCAACUAAGAAGUAUCACGUACAUGCAGGGUGUCUAUUGCAUAACAGGCUUGUGAAACUCUUUGGCUGCAAUUAUCCCAACAAGCUCUAAAGGCUAAUGUCAAAACACUAGUAGAUAGAGCUCAUACUUCUGGUUGAACAGAUAAAGAAACAUGGUUCAGAAACUAGAAGCUAUGAAGGGACAUGGAGGAUCUACCAGGGUGGGUACCACCGGAACAAUUGGUGCUCUGAUAACAAGGGAGCUGGAAUCAAUUAAACCCUCCCCACAAGCAUCAGCAUCUGUUCAAGCUAAGCCUGGAACUAUUCUUGUUUCGGUUCCCUGCAGUGCAACUACUCCUAGAAAACUACAAGCAAGAAAAUCAUUAGAUGAAGCAAGCAGCAGCGGCCAGAAUCGCAGAAGCCCUGAAACUCGUCAGAAAAUGAAAAGCUUCAAUAAAAGCACUCAUCAUAUUCCGAUGUUUGGCUCUGAUAGUAUUAUUUUGGAUAGAACACCAAGUAGGGAGAAAUCUGACAAGAAAGCAACUAAAAAUGUGGAAAUGGUGGACAUAAGAUGUGGUAGUCCAGAUAGAACUUGGGCUAACCCUAUAACAAGUAAACUCAAGAAGCUAGGUUUUUCAAAGCUACCUGAGAUCGAGCACUGUCUAAGCUUGCAACUUCUUGUCCUCAGAUUUCAGGUUUCUAUAACUGAAUCCCGAAAUCCUAACUGGCCGACUGCUAUCAGACACUUCCACCACCGAACAAAUUCUCGGUAGACGCCUGCUUCCUCCUUUCAG
rnacentral:lncRNA from 1 species